rnacentral:rRNA from 1 species
UACAGCGGUCUCAAGCGUUGUUCGGAUUCAUUGGGCGUAAAGGGUGCGUAGGUGGCGCCGUAAGUCGGGUGUGAAAUUUCGGAGCUUAACUCCGAAACUGCAUUCGAUACUGCGGUGCUUGAGGACUGGAGAGGAGACUGGAAUUCAUGGUGUAGCAGUGAAAUGCGUAGAGAUCAUGAGGAAGACCAGUGGCGAAGGCGGGUCUCUGGACAGUUCCUGACACUGAGGUACGAAGGCCAGGGGAGCAAACGGG